rnacentral:rRNA from 1 species
GCGCGAAAACUCCACAAUACACGAAAGUGUGAUGGGGUUACCCCGAGUGCCGUCCGAUGAGGAGGGCUUUUCUUUUGUAUAAUAAGCAGAGGGAAUAAAGGGGGGGCAAGUCUGGUGUCAGCCGCCGCGGUAAUACCAGCCCCCUAAGUGGUAUGGACGAUUAUUUGGCCUAAAGCGUCCGUAGCUGGUUUAAUAAGUCUCCCGUUAAAUCUAACGAUUCAAUCGUUAGGCCUCAGGAGAUACUAUUAGACUAGAGGACGGGAGAGGUCGACGGUAGUCCUGAUGUAGGAGUGAAAUCCUAUAAUCUCAGGAGGACCACCAGUGGCGAAGGCGGUCGACCAGAACGUGCCUGACGGUGAGGGACGAAAGCUGGGGGAGCGAACCGG